rnacentral:misc_RNA from 1 species
UGACCAACUCACCCCCGUGGUGGACUUGGAGCUGGCCGGUCUGGCCUCUCUUAAAACCAGUGGCGGUGCUCUUAAGCUCUACGCGUAGUAAUUUCUCUCGCGACAGGGUCUUGAUGGUGCUUGCCAACAACCCCAACUCUUAUAA